AGCAGCCGCGGUAAUUCCAGCUCCAAUAGCGUAUAUUAAAGUUGUUGCAGUUAAAAAGCUCGUAGUUGAAUUUCGGGGUCAGUAGGUUGGUCAUGCCACUGGUAUGUACUGGUCUCACUGAUUCCUCCUUCCUGAUGAGCCGUAAUGCCAUUAAUUUGGUGUUGCGAGGAAUCUGGACUGUUACUUUGAAAAAAUUAGAGUGUUUAAAGCAGGCUAACGCUUGAAUACAUUAGCAUGGAAUAAUGAAAUAGGACGUUCGAUCUUAUUUUGUUGGUUUCUAAGAUUGACGUAAUGAUUAAUAGGGAUAGUUGGGGGCAUUAGUAUUCAAUUGUCAGAGGUGAAAUUCUUGGAUUUAAUUGAAGACUAACUACUGCGAAAGCAUUUGCCAAGGAUGUUUUCAUUAAUCAAGAACGAAAGUUAGGGGAUCGAAGACGAUCAGAUACCGUCGUA
rnacentral:rRNA from 1 species